rnacentral:miRNA from 1 species
UGAGAUCAUAUUAGUGUCAUUU